AGCAGUCGCCGCGGGAAUACGUAGGUGGCAAGCGUUGUCCGGAAUUAUUGGGCGUAAAGCGCACGUAGGCGGUUAUUCAAGUCAGAGGUGAAAGCCCGGGGCUCAACCCCGGAACUGCCCUUGAAACUAGAUGACUGGAAUCUUGGAGAGGUCAGUGGAAUUCCGAGUGUAGAGGUGAAAUUCGUAGAUAUUCGGAAGGACACCAGUGGCGAAGGCGACUGACUGGACAGGUAUUGACGCUGAGGUGCGGAAGCGUGGGGAGCAAACAGGAUUAGAUACCCGCGUAGUCCCUGUCUCUUAUAA
rnacentral:rRNA from 1 species